rnacentral:lncRNA from 10 species
UUUCUAUAACUUAUUUUUUUUUAACAUAUCGUGAAUUUCUCCCUAUCUACAAAUUCUUUCAUAUCAUAAGAAUACACAAUUUUCUGUAUCUUAAAAAUAGGAAAUGCUUUAAACUCUGUCUAGCUACUAAUUGUUAACAGAUUUUUCAAAUCCUAGCCCAUACCCACUUUGUUUCCUUUGCAACGUCUCCAUACUCAACUGACUCGCUAAUGCUAUUAACUUGGCUCUUGUUGCACUUUCAUUUGCAACCCUACCUAGCAAAAUCCUCCUAAUUUGACUUCUGCAUCUAAACUUCAAUGUUUAGAGAAAAUUCUUCCUAAAAUACAAACUUAAUUACACCUGCCCACCAAUAUCAGGAUAAAUCAAGGCCCCUUAUCAGACACAUAAGUUUAGGAUAUUGGCCAGGUGGCCUCUGUCUAUUUUUCCAUCACCAUCUCCACUGAUUUCCUACAUGUACUGUAUGCUUUAACCUUAGCAAAAUAAAUGCCUUUUUCUUUUACUUCUGUAAGGAAAUUCGGGUUUCUUACUCUUUUCUCCUUCUAAUUUUUUUCUUGGAUUACUGUAAACAUUUAAUUAAUCUCCACUGACUGCCACUUCCAGCUAUCCUCACCUUGCCACCAGCAUUCCUCCUUCUGGAUGGAUAAAUAGAUAGUUGCAUGAAUAAAACAAAAAGACCUUCCGUAUGCAUCCUUUUGAUUUUAACAGACUGAAUAAAAUGUAUACUCAGCUUCACAUAUAUGGCAUUACUUCCCUCUCCAGCCCACACUGUAUUUUGGGCUC